UCACGUUGGAGCUCAACUCCGCCUUUCUCCACCUGCUCUGUUUGUUGUCUUCUUCCUCCCUGCGCGCACGCCUCCACUCGCUGUGCCGUGGCUCCGCAUCGCACCUCGUCCUCCCUUAAAGUGUCCCCUCCUGCUCCCCAGCAAAACCCUAGCCCGCAUCCUUUCCAUCCUCGUGCCGCCGCCCCUUCUUUCCCCUCGACCACGCAAACAAGCGAGACCAAAGUUUCAGAGAAAACACCGAACACCUCCGCCGCAGCAUCACCGUCGCCCGUCGUGUCCGACCACCUUUCGCUGAACCAAGGCCACCACGAGUUUCUCCUCGUCACGCUGAAGCUCCUCUACACGCGCGCGCCUCCAAUCAGCCACGAAAUCGACGCCCAAAUCGUCGUUCUCCGCUCCGGCCGCCACGCACCGGCGAGGUCUCCGACCGCCUCCGACCUGCUCCGUCCUUUCCGAGACCAUCAGUGUGUUCCUGGUUUUCAUCGGAGUUCUUCUAGUCCUUGCCGUCGUCAUGGUCGCCGUCGCGCUGGGCUAGGGCCGGGUUCGCGUUUCCCAACAUCUCCUCGUUCGAUUCCGACCAGUAGCGCAGCUCGGAAGCCUCACCCUCGACUUCCUCUUCCUCGACACCGAUGGACGCUGUCCCUGCUUCGCCUCCCUGUUCGCCCAGUCUUCAGUUUCGUCAGCAUUUGCUUCUUCUCGGAUAGGAUCGCGAAGUGGUGCGGUGAGAUACGCCAAGUUCUCCGGAUGUUCCUCGGCAAGCUAUAACAG